rnacentral:misc_RNA from 1 species
CGCACAUUGCGCCCUCUGGUAUUCCGGAGGGCAUGCCUGUUCGAGCGUCAUUUCAACCCUCAAGCCUGGCUUGGUGAUGGGGCACUGCUUUUGAGAGAAAGCAGGCCCUGAAAUCUAGUGGCGAGCUCGCCAGGACCCCGAGCGUAGUAGUUAUAUCUCGCUUUGGAAGGCCCUGGCGGUGCCCUGCCGUUAAACCCCCAACUUCUGAAAAUUUGACCUCGGAUCAGGUAGGAAUACCCGCUGAACUUAA